UGCCAGCCGCCGCGGUAAUACGUAAGUCGCAAGCGUUAUCCGGAAUUAUUGGGCGUAAAGCGUCCGUAGGCGGUUUUUUAAGUCUGUGGUUAAAUCCCAGGGCUCAACCCUGGAAUCGUCAUAGAAACGUUUAUACUUGAGUGCGAAAUAGGACAAUGGAAUUUUACAAGGAGGGGUGAAAUCCGUAGAACUGUAAAGGAACGUCAAAAGCGAAGGCAAUUGUCUGGGUCGUUACUGACGCUAAGGAACGAAAGCGUGGUUAUCAAACAGGAUUAGAUA
rnacentral:rRNA from 1 species